rnacentral:rRNA from 1 species
AUGCGACCACACUGUGCAGGAUAUGCAGGGAGGUCGGCCCUUGUCCAGGGGAAGAUCAGCACCAUGAUGGUGAAAGACAACCUCUUGGCGGCUGGUGGUUUCCAUGGGGAGCUGAUCUGCAAUGUAAGGAGGCCGGAGUAUGCCACCGUUGAUCCAUAUCCAGAUCAGUUGCGUCGCCGGUUCCGCCGUCUCCAACCGCACUCCCCCGUUUGCGCCAUCGAGCCGGGCCUGCUCACCUCCUUCUUGAUGGUCGCGCAUCGGGAGAGCCCUCUGCCGGCAGCGACGCAGCCGUGUCUGGUGCCGUACAAGGGACGCCGGCGCAGGAUGCUAUCGUCAUCCGUUCCUAACGCCGCUGAGUUGAGUAGUAUGAGUCAAUUGGCCAGCCUGGAGCAGCUUGGUGUUUUACAUUAUGGUGUUAACUGUGAAAAUGCCAAGUGGAUGAUGUACAUCUGGUGGUCGUCAAGUCAAGGAACCUUCUCUUCUUGCUGCGACAGUCCUCCUCCCGCUGCUUUGCUCUGCUCAACAGCUAGCGUGCAUGGCUAA